AUUGAACGCUGGCGGCAGGCCUAACACAUGCAAGUCGAGCGGAUGAGGGGAGAUUGCUCCCUGAUUUAGCGGCGGACGGGCGAGUAAUGCCUAGGAAUCUGCCUGGUAGUGGGGGAUAACGUUCCGAAAGGAACGAUAAUACCGCAUACGUCCUACGGGAGAAAGCAGGGGACCUUCGGGCCUUGCGCUAUCAGAUGAGCCUAGGUCGGAUUAGCUAGUUGGUGAGGUAAUGGCUCACCAAGGCGACGAUCCGUAACUGGUCUGAGAGGAUGAUCAGACACACUGGAACUGAGACACGGUCCAGACUCCUACGGGAGGCAGCAGUGGGGAAUAUUGGACAAUGGGCGAAAGCCUGAUCCAGCCAUGCCGCGUGUGUGAAGAAGGUCUUCGGAUUGUAAAGCACUUUAAGUGGGGAGGAAGGGCUGCUGGUUAAUACCCUGCAGUUUUGACGUUACCAACAGAAUAAGCACCGGCUAACUUCGUG
rnacentral:rRNA from 1 species